AUGGAAAACGUCACCCGUGAUGCUUUUGAUGUGCAGUAUGGCCUAUUCAAGGAAACGGUUGAUCAUCUGCUGUAUCCCAACCCAAGAUCGAGGUUGGUUCAUGAACAACAUCUGCUGUAUUUCCGUUUCCUUGGAAUUCUUCUUGGGAAGGCAAUGUAUGAGGGCAUAAAAGUUGCCUUGCCAUUUGCAACAUUCUUCUUAAGCAAGCUGAAACAAAAGUCGACCACCUUGAAUGAUCUGUUUUCACUGGAUCCAGUUUCAUACGAACAUCUUUUGCAGUUAAAGCGUUAUGAGGGCAAACUCUUGGAUUUGGAAUUGCGUUUCGUUACCACAAAUAAUGAAAAUGCUGACCAAUCUGAAGAAUUGCUUCCUGGUGGGAGAGGAAUGCGUGUUACUGAUCAUAAUGUUACUACUUAUAUUCAUCUAAUUGCCAACCAUCGUUUAAACUAUCAGAUCCGUAGUCAAAGUACACAUUUUUUGAGAGGUUUUCAACAACUCAUACCAAAAGAAUGGAUUGAUAUGUUCAAUGAACAUGAAGUUCAGUUUCUCAUAUCCGGCUCUCCGAAAAGUUUGGACAUUGAUGACUUGCGGUCAAACACCAAUUAUGCUGGAGGAUAUCAUGAGGGUCAUCAGGUUAUUGAUAUGUUCUGGGAGGUUUUAGCAAGCUUCUCUUCAUAUGAUCAGAACAAGUUUCUGAGGUUUGCCAUUGGAUGUUCUCGCGGCCCAUUUCGUGGAUUCCGACACGUUGUUCCGAAAUUUAGCAUUCUGAGAGAUUGUUACCUUGGAAUGGACGAGCAUAUAGACCGUUCGCCUACUUCGGUGACUUGCCUGAAUCAGCUGAAGCUCCCUCCUUAUGCAACGUUAGUAAACCAAAUAACUACAGUACAUUAG
rnacentral:rRNA from 1 species